CCGAGUUAGGGUUGCUCUUCUGAGUGCCCGACCUCCCAACCCUUUGUCUAUGAUACCACAGUUGCUUCGGCGGACCGAGGGGUCACACCCUCGCCUGGUUUACGGCCGGGAGAGCGCCCGUCGAUGGCCCCAAAUUAACACUUGAACCCAAAACCUGUCGUCUGAAAACUAUUUGAUAUCAUAAUCAAAAACA
rnacentral:misc_RNA from 1 species